GCCAGACUUGGCAAAAAGAUCACCCUGUCAUAAUUACCAGACUUCCUGCAAUAACCACGCCCCUGGAAAGCACAGUCCCAUAAUUAAGGCCGUGGAAAGCAGGAGAUAACUGUAGUGCAAUGGACGCUAGCCAAACAAUACACCUCCUGAUCUGUCCAGGGCCAGUGUGGAGUCCUUUGACCAGCUUAGCAGCUGCCAUGGUGAUGAGAACACAUAGGGAGCCAUUUGCACCACUUUACAAGCUUAUUGCAACUGAGAAUCAAGUUCUGUGCAGCUCAGAGCACUUUGGUAAUGUCUGGCUGUCAGCUGCAGCACACACCAAGAGCUCAGUUUCUCCCGGAAGCAUUCCCUGUUCAAAGAGGAGCUGAAGAGUGGAAGAAUUUCCUGAAUGUCUUGAUUCCUUUGUUUUAUCACUGGUAGCUGUGGGGAUUCCUACAUCAAGAUACAUCUGUGUUUUGCAAGCAGAAGUACCAUCUGGAGAAAUGUUUCUAAUCUGUAUCAAGAGUUAUUUUUAUGUCUGAUAAUGUUCU